rnacentral:rRNA from 1 species
UACGUAGGGUGCAAGCGUUAAUCGGAAUUACUGGGCGUAAAGCGUGCGCAGGCGGUCUUGCAAGACAGAUGUGAAAUCCCCGGGCUCAACCUGGGAACUGCAUUUGUGACUGCAAGGCUGGAGUACGGUAGAGGGGGAUGGAAUUCCGCGUGUAGCAGUGAAAUGCGUAGAUAUGCGGAGGAACACCGAUGGCGAAGGCAAUCCCCUGGACCUGUACUGACGCUCAUGCACGAAAGCGUGGGGAGCGAGCAGG